rnacentral:rRNA from 1 species
GAUGAACGCUGGCGGCGUGCCUAACACAUGCAAGUCGAACGGAGAUUACAGACGGAAGUUUUCGGAUGGAAGACUGUAAUUCUUAGUGGCGGACGGGUGAGUAACGCGUGGGCAACCUGCCCUAUACAGGGGGAUAGCAGCUGGAAACGGCUGGUAAGACCGCAUAAGUCGGCGAGACCGCAUGGUUUUGUCGGGAAAUGAGCAAUCAGGUAUAGGAUGGGCCCGCGUCCGAUUAGCCAGUUGGCAGGGUAAAAGCCUACCAAAGCAACGAUCGGUAGCCGGACUGAGAGGUCGGACGGCCACAUUGGGACUGAGACACGGCCCAAACUCCUACGGGAGGCAGCAGUGGGGGAUAUUGCACAAUGGAGGGAACUCUGAUGCAGCGACGCCGCGUGAGUGAAGAAGUAUUUCGGUAUGUAAAGCUCUAUCAGCAGGGAAGAUGAUGACGGUACCUGACUAAGAAGCCCCGGCUAACUACGUGCCAGCAGCCGCGGUAAUACGUAGGGGGCAAGCGUUAUCCGGAUUUACUGGGUGUAAAGGGAGCGCAGGCGGUUUGGCAAGUUGAGAGUGGAAGCAGGGGGCUCAACCCCCUGACUGCUCCCAAAACUGUUAAACUUGAGUAUGGGAGAGGCAGGCGGAAUUCCUAGUGUAGCGGUGAAAUGCUUAGAUAUUAGGAAGAACACCGGUGGCGAAGGCGGCCUGCUGGACCAAAACUGACGCUGAGGCUCGAAAGCGUGGGUAGCAAACAGG